rnacentral:misc_RNA from 1 species
GCAAUGGAGCCAUUAAGGGUUAUCCCAAGUGUCAAUGGUAGCCCGUAUGCGACGCUGACCAGAUUCGGAUGGGUAAUAUGUGGUUUGAAUCAGACGGCAGGCCCACCUGACGUUACAACGGUUUGCAAGACAACUGUCACUGAAGGUGAAUCUCUGGAAGAAAUGAGCAAGUCAUCAAACAACCAUAAAUACGCGGAACAUUUGCAUUGCACGAAAAGAGAGUUGUCCGCCGCAGAUCGUUUGUGGAUGAGGAAGGUGGAAAGUUCUGUUGCGUACAAAGGUGGUCAGUACAACGUCCCUCUGCACUUAACGGACGAUCAUGUCAAAUUACCGAACAUUCUUUAUUUUGUGAUUUUAGUGAUUUUAUUUUGUACAAUUGUAUCUUGCGUUGGAGAACGAUUACAGAAUGCUGACCUUGCUUAUAACGCGAAACAUCGCAUCAUAAUGUUGUCCCAUGAGAAGAACACAGAGAUGCUCAUGCAAGAUGUGCACAAAAGGCUGGGACACGCUGGACGGCAACACGUUUUGGCUGAUGUGCAAGAUGUAAUGUGGUUCUUGGAAAGAAAUGCCACGGUACGAAGGGGUUUGAGCACGUGUUUGUUUUGCAAGCGAAGAUAUCAUUCGUCUUUGGGAAGACCUUUAGAAGGCAUGACAACCAGCACAUCAAUGAAAAACGAGACUUUGGUGACUUUCAUGUGCAAAGUUGAGGCAAUUAUAAACAGCAGACCACUGACACCAGUUUCCACUGAUCACCUUGACACUGAGCCACUUUCUCCAAACCUCCUGCUACUCGCUGGUGCAGGGUACGACCUCGUUCCCGUCAAUCUUUUUGACAAAACAGACAGCAACAGUCGUAAGAGAUGGAAGCAGGCAGCUUAUUACGCGGAUAUGUUUUGGAAACGCUGGCGGGCCGAAUAUUUGCCAUUGCUCCAGGCUAGGCCACACCAUUUAAGUAGAGCUAAGCCAAAUUUAGGUGUGGGCGAUAUUGUGGUAGUGGUUGACGAAAGCGUCCCACGAGGUCAAUGGCCAUUGGGUCGAGUACUUAGGGUGAAACACAGCGCUGAUGGAUUGGUUCGCUCUGUGGAACUGCAAGUCCGGGGCACAACGCUGCAGCGCCCAGUGACGAAGAUUGUGAAACUGAUCUGACAGUAUAUGACAAGGUUGAAACCUCAGGGACAGAGGUUUCAAGGGGAGGGUGUUGUUGCGGCAACAGCAUCGAUUUAUUGCUUAUUUUGGAGUGAGGGAUCCCCCGAAACACAAGAUAAAAUCUGGCUGCAAGAGGUUACUUAGUUUCAUUAAAAUGCGUGAGAUGCAUCUUAAAAUCAACAAAAAUUCAAAAAGAUAAAGAAAGAAAGAAAAACAAGAAAGAGGAAACAAACGAAAAUGGCGUAGGCAAACUUCGAAACAAUUGAACACGAAACUAUGAAAUUGAAGUGCGAAAACGAUCGAACGUUAACGAAAACGAAACGAAAACGAUCGAAGGAAGCGAAAGAAAUUCGAACGAAGUGACGCCGAUUCAAGCGAUCGAGAAUCGCUUCAGAUGAAUUCUAUGUAUAAUUUGUGAGAUGAUCGCCAGUAUAAAUUAAGAGUUGAAAUGUG